GAUGAACGCUGGCGGCGUGCUUAACACAUGCAAGUCGAACGGAAAGGCCCAAGCUUGCUUGGGUACUCGAGUGGCGAACGGGUGAGUAACACGUGGGUGAUCUGCCCUGCACUUCGGGAUAAGCCUGGGAAACUGGGUCUAAUACCGGAUAGGACCACUUCUUGGGGGUUGUGGUGGAAAGUUUUUUCGGUGUGGGAUGAGCUCGCGGCCUAUCAGCUUGUUGGUGGGGUAAUGGCUUACCAAGGCGUCGACGGGUAGCCGGCCUGAGGGGGUGUAAGGCGACAUUGGGACUGAGAGGCGGCCCAGACGCCUACGGGAGGAAGAAGUGGGGAAGAUUGCACAAUGGGUGCAAGCCUGAUGCAGCGACGCCGCGUGGGGGAUGACGGCCUUCGGGUUGUAAACUCCUUUCGCUAGGGACGACGCGUUUUGUGACGGUACCUGGAGAAGAAGCACCGGCUAACUACGUG
rnacentral:rRNA from 1 species